CAGAAAGGAAAAGUGCAGUUGGAACAGCCUACUGAAGUAUUAUGAUAAUAAAGGAAAUUUAGUUGAGAAUAACAGGCUGAAGACACUUUUUGGUCGAGGAGAAGGAACAAAACUAGAAAAAUGAUGACAUCUGAUAAAGUUUGCCAAUUUAUUGAAACAUAGAAGUACAGAUUGAUAGGCAGCAAUGUGAGGUGUUAUCUAUGAAGGAUUUAAGUUAGAGAAGGGAUUGAGAGCCAUCAAUUUUGUAUUAGAUGUGAGAAAAUGAAUUUGAUAUUUUAAUAGUUGUUAGUUUCACUGAUGUUAGUUAUUUUUUAGUAAACUCUGCUUUGAUGAUUUUUCAGUUGAAUAGCUCUUUGAUAUAGAAACAAGGGGAGCUGCCUGAGUUUCUUUCAAUGAAUUGUUUCAUUCUAGUUUCUUGGUUGUGUGGCUUUACAAUUAAAUGUCUUUUUCCUUUUCGAGGCAUGAAGGCCGACCAAAUUCUAAAGUUUCCAGAGAGUAAGUGUUUGCUCGCAGUGAGUGUGCGAUGGCUGUCCUGGGAGGCACACAGCAGGUGAAAUUAAAGGGUAAAGAGCAGAAAAAAGAAAUAUUAGCUGCAAAGGUGGUCAAAGGAGGGAGCUGUGGCAGUAACAUAUCUGGUAACAGCACAACUAAGUAGUUAAAGAUAAAAUAAAAGACAUCAGAUAAGAGAUAGAGAAAGCUCAGAAUGAAGGGAAAAUAGGGAGAAACAGUUUGACCAACAGGUAGACAGUACUGACAUACUAUAUAGCCUUUAGUGAGGGAAAUGUAGUCACAGAGACAGAAUAAUGAAAGAGCCCAUCCUGUUAGAUAAGGUCUAAAUAGAUAUACCCCCAGAUGAAGAAACGUACAGAGCAAGUGGAAGGAAGAUAUAAGUAAGUGCAUUUAAGGGCCAGUACAGGCAGAAGAAGAAGAAGGAAAAGAAUUAGGGUCUAUAAAGGGUUGAGUUAAGAUAUAAAGGAGAGAUGGAAAAAGAGAGGGUAUAUUAGAUAGGGAGGAGACGAGAGCUAGAUUUGAAUAGGAAAAAACAACAACUCUCAAACAAAGAAGUGAAAGGUUAAAACAGGUGGCAGAAAGGCAACAGUCUGCCUACAGACCAAGGCACCUGCAGAGCACAACGAACCAUGAGACAUGACGACAGCAAGACAGAGCUACAAUGGACAAGAUGGCAGCUCUGAAGUUUCAUGAAGAAGGCGAGAGAGCAGCUUCAAAAUGGACACAGCAGAAUCUGACUGAGAGGAAGAGAGGGAGGGCCACAAACGAGCGGUGAUACAGGAGGCGUUUCACAGAGAGGCGUGCCAACCUGAUGCAUCACAGGCCCAAGCCCACCUCCACUUACGUCAGCGUCUUCCCAAUGCUGAGGACGCAGCCCGUCAGACCACCCCUACCAUCCACAGUCGAAUCAUAAAGAGGACAACACCACCUUAAAGACUGUGAACCUAACAGCGCAAAGUUUAAAAGGUCAAGAAGGUUUAACAGUGAAAAUGAACUUCAGCCAAAAUGCUCUCACAUGUGACCGAGUGCUGACAGAGACAUCACCAAGGAAGCGCUCUCUGUCUCACCAUGAUCAACAUUACAAAUGGUCAGACUGUCAGAGGCCUUGAAAACUGCAACAUCUGCUGAAAAAGAACUGUUUGAAGACUGACCUCACAAGAGUUUGGGAGUAGGAGUGUUGAUAAUUUGUAGGAGAAGAAUAAAUAGAAAGAUAGGGGAA